rnacentral:tRNA from 1 species
AGCCCAAUAACUCAGUGGUAGAGUGUCGUUCUUAUAAUGCGAAGGUCGCGGGUUCGAGCCCCGUUUGGACUA